UACGUAGGCAGCGAGCGUUGUUCGGAGUUACUGGGCGUAAAGGGUGCGUAGGCGGUUGUUUAAGUUUGGUGUGAAAUCUCCCGGCUCAACUGGGAGGGUGCGCCGAAUACUGAAUGACUAGAGUGCGGGAGAGGAGAGUGGAAUUCCUGGUGUAGCGGUGAAAUGCGUAGAUAUCGUAAGGAAGACCAGUGGCGAAGGCGAGUUUCUGGACAGCUACCGACGCUGAGGCACGAAGGCCAGGGGAGCAAACGGG
rnacentral:rRNA from 1 species